rnacentral:rRNA from 1 species
CUUACACAUGCGAGACGAGCGGGGUGAUGGUGCUUGCACUAUCACUUAGCGGCGGACGGGUGAGUAAUGCUUAGGAAUCUGCCUAUUAGUGGGGGACAACAUCUCGAAAGGGAUGCUAAUACCGCAUACGUCCUACGGGAGAAAGCAGGGGAUCACUUGUGACCUUGCGCUAAUAGAUGAGCCUAAGUCGGAUUAGCUAGUUGGUGGGGUAAAGGCCUACCAAGGCGACGAUCUGUAGCGGGUCUGAGAGGAUGAUCCGCCACACUGGGACUGAGACACGGCCCAGACUCCUACGGGAGGCAGCAGUGGGGAAUAUUGGACAAUGGGGGGAACCCUGAUCCAGCCAUGCCGCGUGUGUGAAGAAGGCCUUAUGGUUGUAAAGCACUUUAAGCGAGGAGGAGGCUCUUUUGGUUAAUACCCAAGAUGAGUGGACGUUACUCGCAGAAUAAGCACCGGCUAACUCUGUGCCAGCAGCCGCGGUAAUACAGAGGGUGCAAGCGUUAAUCGGAUUUACUGGGCGUAAAGCGCGCGUAGGCGGCCAAUUAAGUCAAAUGUGAAAUCCCCGAGCUUAACUUGGGAAUUGCAUUCGAUACUGGUUGGCUAGAGUGUGGGAGAGGAUGGUAGAAUUCCAGGUGUAGCGGUGAAAUGCGUAGAGAUCUGGAGGAAUACCGAUGGCGAAGGCAGCCAUCUGGCCUAACACUGACGCUGAGGUGCGAAAGCAUGGGGAGCAAACAGGAUUAGAUACCCUGGUAGUCCAUGCCGUAAACGAUGUCUACUAGCCGUUGGGGCCUUUGAGGCUUUAGUGGCGCAGCUAACGCGAUAAGUAGACCGCCUGGGGAGUACGGUCGCAAGACUAAAACUCAAAUGAAUUGACGGGGGCCCGCACAAGCGGUGGAGCAUGUGGUUUAAUUCGAUGCAAUCGCGAAGAACCUUACCUGGGCCUUGACAUAGUAGAACUUUCCAGAGAUGGAUUGGUGCCC